GAUGAACGCUGGCGGCGUGCUUAACACAUGCAAGUCGAACGAUGAAGCCCAGCUUGCUGGGUGGAUUAGUGGCGAACGGGUGAGUAACACGUGAGUAACCUGCCCUUGACUCUAGGAUAAGCCCGGGAAACUGGGUCUAAUACUGGAUAGGAACGUCUACCGCAUGGUGGGUGUUGGAAAGAAUUUCGGUCAUGGUUGGACUCGCGGCCUAUCAGCUUGUUGGUGAGGUAAUGGCUCACCAAGGCGACGACGGGUAGCCGGCCUGAGAGGGUGACCGGCCACACUGGGACUGAGACACGGCCCAGACUCCUACGGGAGGCAGCAGUGGGGAAUAUUGCACAAUGGGCGAAAGCCUGAUGCAGCGACGCCGCGUGAGGGAUGACGGCCUUCGGGUUGUAAACCUCUUUCAGUAGGGAAGAAGCGAAAGUGACGGUACCUGCAGAAGAAGCACCGGCUAACUACGUG
rnacentral:rRNA from 1 species